CAGCCGCCGCGGGAAUACGGAGGGGGCUAGCGUUGUUCGGAAUUACUGGGCGUAAAGCGCACGUAGGCGGCUUGGUAAGUUAGAGGUGAAAGCCCGGAGCUCAACUCCGGAAUUGCCUUUAAGACUGCCGAGCUAGCAGGUGAGAGAGGUAAGUGGAAUUCCGAGUGUAGAGGUGAAAUUCGUAGAUAUUCGGAAGAACACCAGUGGCGAAGGCGGCUUACUGGCUCAUACUGGACGCUGAGGUGCGAAAGCGUGGGGAGCAAACAGGAUUAGAUACCCCAGUAGUCCCUGUCUCUUAUAC
rnacentral:rRNA from 1 species